AGACCGUGAUGUGGGCAUAUCCUCAUCAUGUCUUUGUAUCUCUCCCACGCGUCGUAGAGAGAUUCUGCAUUUUUUUUUAUCAAAAUCCGUUGAUUUGAGCUCUCAGCAU